GCGCCCGUAGCUCAGGGGAUAGAGCGGCUGCCUUCUAAGCAGUAGGUCGGAGGUUCGAAUCCUCCCGGGCGUA
rnacentral:tRNA from 1 species